GCCGGGUUAGCUCAGUCGGCAGAGCAGCGCAUUUGUAAUGCGACGGUCGAGGGUUCGAAUCCUUUACCCGGCACCA
rnacentral:tRNA from 1 species